rnacentral:rRNA from 1 species
AUUGAACGCUGGCGGCAUGCCUUACACAUGCAAGUCAAACGGCAGCACGGGAGCAAUCCUGGUGGCGAGUGGCGAACGGGUGAGUAAUGUAUCGGAACGUGCCCAGUCGUGGGGGAUAACGUAGCGAAAGCUACGCUAAUACCGCAUACGAUCUAUGGAUGAAAGCGGGGGAUCGCAAGACCUCGCGCGAUUGGAGCGGCCGAUAUCAGAUUAGGUAGUUGGUGGGGUAAAGGCUCACCAAGCCGACGAUCUGUAGCUGGUCUGAGGGGACGCCCAGCCACACUGGGACUGAGACACGGCCCAGACUCCUACGGGAGGCAGCAGUGGGGAAUUUUGGACAAUGGGCGCAAGCCUGAUCCAGCAAUGCCGCGUGCAGGAUGAAGGCCUUCGGGUUGUAAACUGCUUUUGUACGGAACGAAACGGUGAGCUCUAAUACAGUUUGCUAAUGACGGUACCGUAAGAAUAAGCACCGGCUAACUACGUGCCAGCCGCCGCAGUAA